GGCCUCCUGGUGUAGUGGUAACACAUCCUCUGUUGAUAAGCAAUGGAGGGUCUUCAUGAGGAAAUCCCUUGUUCGAAUCAAGGUGGGGCCA